GGUCCCGAGGGGGUUUCAGCGGGGUGAGGCAUGGAGGUGGGUUUGGGUUGAUUGGGUUUGGGUUGGGGACGACCGAGCGAGCGAGCGGCGGCCGGCGGCGGGUCGCGGAGGCGGCUGGGGGCGAGGGCGGCGUGCGGCCGGGGUACCGCCUAGGGAUGGCGAGCAUGGAGGGCAGGAGGAGAGUGCUGUCUCAAGGUGACCCGCCAAUAGGACCCAUGCAAGAUGGACUUCUUAGUAGGAUAAUACGAAGUUUUUACCGACGAGACGCUCCUCAUGGUUUACAUGGAUCUCAACUACAUGGUGAUGUCAGUUCUCGAAUACCAAACCUACAAGGUCGUCCGCACUCGGUAGGACGAAUACCAAACCUACAAGGUCGUCCGCACUCGGUAGGACGAAUACCAAACCUACAAGGUCGUCCGCGCUCGGUAGGACGAAUACCAUACCUACAAGGUCGUCCGCACUUGGUAGGACGAAACCAACCGAACCCACGUGACGGUCGACCUCGAUCCGGCGCCCCUGGAUCGGGAAACCUUCUGGGUCGAAAUCAGGUCUCUUCAAGAAGUGAACCGUUUUCACAGUCAUAAGGCCUUCAACUCGCGGGGUUUGGACAAAACUAGCAGCUAGCCGGUAGUCUUCUACUUAGGUUGUAAGAAAAACAACUACCAGAGGGUUGACUAACGUGGUCCUCUCUUCAUCGAGUAAACAAGGCAGGAAAGCAACCGAAGUUCCUGGAGUCUGAACACGUGUUCCUCGGGUCUGCAUCACCACUGUUCCGAAUACGAGACACGAAACACCUCAAGUCACUGCGUUUUACACGUCCCUGACGAUACCUCCGAGAGGUUCUUAUGGCGAAGCUGCUCUCCUUCGAGCUGCCGGGUAAGGAAUUCUAGGUCAAGCGUUCCAAGGGCAAGGCUGGAGGCGGUCGGGUACUUCUAGCCUUUGCGGAAUCGCGAGCGACUAGCGGCAGUAGAUAUAUAGAGGGGGGAAACGGUCGUCACAUAGCAUCCGUCACCCGGUAACAUCUAGUCGAUACAAACAAGUCGGACAUCAUCGUUGGACAGUGCCCGGAAACAGUCGACCUCUAACCGAUCGAUCUGUCUGAACGGACCAUGGGUGGACGGACGGGACCGUGUAAGCGGCACAAGGGCGCAGUGUAAAAAGCGCCCACCUAUACGAUCUUUACUAUACUGUAAGCGGCACAAGGGCGCAGUGUAAAAAGCGCCCACCUAUACGACCUUUACCAUACGUAUUUGACAAGGACAGAAACGUCGAGGUCCCGUCAUCCAUCUCAUGUUAGACAGACCAUAGGACCCCAACGGUGAUCACUACGACCCCUCACCGUAGAAACAUAGGCCCCGGACUAUGUCGGUGGUCUCAGGUCUCGACAGUUAACCCCUGUCCUUGGCGUUCUCUGUUUCAACGAGUCCAAGCGACCUCAGCGGCAACUAAAACGGCACCUUACACUCGCGAGCUCUGCUUCCACCCUGCAGCUGCCACUCUUAACGGGCGGACAGCAUGCGCAAGCGGAACCGAGAGCGCUGCCAAAAAAGGCGACCUCGAAGGGCUUCCUCCGCUGACCGCGCUGCACCAAACCCCAAAACGUCUCUUUGGGGUCGCGCAGCCAAUCGGCAACCUAGCGCUUACACAACGGCCAAAAGAGAAACGGGAGUAGAAAUAGACACCGAACUCAAACGUCCGCAGACAUCCGACAUCGUAGCAGCAGCAGCAGGGGUUUCGAUCGUGCAGAUCUUACGACCACAAAAAGAUUGCCUCACCGAUAAAACAAACGUUUUAGCGUCGGAAUUCUACAAGAGACCUUCAAACUGUGAUGAACAACUACCCGGAAAGAACAGUGGAUGAAAAGAAGAAGAAUGAUCGUCGUGCGAACGACACAUUUGUCCAGAGAACGUACCAUGGAAAGGUGGGUAGAAAUUUUUAUUAUUCGUACUUUUACGUCAUCUUUAAUACCAACUCGAAAAGCUUCCACUCGACUCGUAGAGAACCGUGACCCGAACGGUACAUAUGCGUCUGUUCUAAACGUACAUCGGCCAAAUCGGAAAUUACAAAUGUAGAACCAACUACUACUUAACUACUACUAUCCCUACCGAGUUGAGCCGCCUCUCCUGUCCUCUCCUCCUCGGCCCCGAGCGUAAAAGGUGCCAUAAAGGUACACCGGCCCCACCCAUCACCCGUACACACGCGGAGGGUUUAACCCACCACUCCGCCGCACUCUCGAUGGGAAGGGAGAAGGGACGAACGGUACCGUGAGCGUGGUGGCCGCUGGACAUCGCGCGGCUCAGCAUAUGCGUGCGGAACAAUAUUAAGGAGACCACAUGGCAGAUGUGACAGUAGCUCAUAACAGGGGCAAUGCGGUCGGUAAAUUAGGUACCUUAAUGCACCCGUGGCAUUACGCGUUAAACUGUCGCUUCUUUCCAGUUUCACGUCUGUCUGCUCCACCUGGUUCUGAGCAGCGAGCAGUCAGCAGUGGUCGGGUCGCGUCGCGCCGUUAAGUCGUUUCGUCUUGUUGGGGGUGGGCGGCAAAAAGAGGGGGGGUGGAAGGGAGGCGCAGGGGAGGAGGCUCCGGUGGAUCGUUCGAGGCCGGCAGGCGGGCAGGUGCUCGCUCGGCCGGCGGCCGGCGGCGGCUUCGGCUACUUCUUCGGCCCUUUCGAGCGCGACGGGAGGGUCCUGAGGUGGUAGCCGUUCAAGGACUGCGUCUCGCCCUGCAAGUUCCUGCCGCUGGACGAGCAGUUGUUCCUGCCGGAGGCGUAGCAGGGCGUCUCGCUCCUUCCGCUCCGAGGAGGAUAGUUCGGCAACCUAUUAUUAGUAGUCAACUCGUAUCUGCUAGAUCUAAGUUAGUUUCACUAGCCCUUUCCAUUAUCGCCUUGGCACGUCAACCACGCGGUGUUUACCUGACCGGUCAAAAAACGAGAGUUCCAAUAUGUCGAGUUAUAAGUCCUUUCGUAUGCGUUCGUCUACCGGGUCCUCAACUUUUAUUCGAACAAAUGUGUCACGGUCAUACAACAGUGUACGAUAGUCACAAAGAUACAGUUACCACAAUAAAGAUAACGAAACCUCAUAUACCUACCACCGAGAGAGCGACUAAAGGAGUUCCGACAAUCUUGGCAAGGACUCCGGAUGGAACGACGUUAAACAUUCGUCCACAACUUUCCCGACUACAUGAACGUAGUGCUCUUCGCGCAAUAUGUGGCUCUAGACUUUGGUAGCUUAUAUAACUAUUUAGUAUCCCCACUUCAUUUCUAUAGUCUAAAACCACAAUCACGGUAGUAAAGAUCAAGAAGACGUGUCGCUCUAUGUAAAUGACCGUGUAAAUUGAUGUACCGCGGACUUUCUUAGUCACCCGUCUUUGUACCAGUAGACUCACUAUAGACCUCGAACCCGGAUCAAUACGACCUUACACGGUGACCGUUAAAGGGUAUAGGAGGAGCACUUUCGAAAAUACUUGAAGAACUUCGACAACAGCUGGUUGGUAGUGGAAGACGUGGUAGUCUGGUCAAAAGUGGUCUCAAGACAAGUAAGUAAAGACGAACAUAGGUUUUUUUACGACGUCUAUCCAGUAGACGGGUUUGGGAUAGUCAAGUAGGUAAGGACUCGUACAUGCUACUGGACUUAUAGCUAGAAAGACUGAUGAAGUCCUGGCGUCCUAGUGGCGAACGGUGGAAGUUCGUUUAGCGCAACACUCUGCUGUUUACGAGUUGGUACGCAGUACUCGACCUCGAUUGACUUCGUUCACUUACCUCAAUAAAAAGAAAAGGAAAACAAGUACUUGACCCGAAACCACUAUAGAAACUUGGCUCAUACUAUGUUAACCGACGUAUUAAUAUGUUUAUGUUCAAACAUUUCGUAGUCACUCCUAGCUUCAAAACGGACAGACGUAUGGCCUUGGUAGGCAAACAACAGACCGAAACUGGAAACAAUACAUACCCGAAUAGCGAAAACGUCAAAAUGAUUACUUUGGUAUAAACGACCCAACGAAGUACUGGACUAAACCUGAUCAUAGACGUUCGAAAAUCAAGUCUACCACUACACAGUGAAAUCCACCUCCCACCACCACCCGAAGACUUUAGUCCUUACCAACGAAAACGUUCACCGUGGAAGAACAUUAAACAUUAAAGUGUCUUCACUUUAAGUUUAAACUAGGUACGUUUUUUCUUUCUUUUUAUACAAUACAACACUUUAUCAUAUUUUUUAACACUGUCACCUGUUUCUACUACUUCCAUCGGCUUCCUUGCUUCGCAUCCUCUCCUUCUUUCCGCUUCUUAUAACGUAGCACUGUUACCUGCUCUACCUCG
rnacentral:rRNA from 1 species